GAUGUUUCUGAGGUCAAGACCAACACUAGACCAACCCAUUGGCACGUUGCCGAACGACCUAAUAACCCGGCCACGACCUUCUCUAACCUCCCACGAUUCCACCGUCCUCGUCCUGCAGCGCCGCCGCCGUCCACCGGCCUCCUCCCGCGAAACCGCCGCCGCCUGCCUUCCACGGAACCGCCGCCGGCCUGAUCCCGUGGCCCUGCAUCCGCCCUUUUGCUGCGGCCACGCGCCUUCCUCCUCCCGUGGCCCUACCCCCGGUCUUCUCCAGCGGCCGCACGCCGUCCUCCUAUCAUUGCCCCACUGGCGAUCUCCUCCCGCGGAUGCGCCGCCGCCGACCCCCAAUAGGAUCCAUGCCUCCACCACCCCCAAGAUCCUACGCCGCUGGGUGGGAUCCGGCAUCCCGCAUCCACGUCCCGGCGAGCCCAAGCACGCUGUCGGCCGCGUGUACUCGACGCAACACCUCCCGCCUCCCAACAUCGCUGCCUACCCUGCCAUCACCGCAACCACGCAUCACUCCAGCUGGGAUCCAUCGCGCAGUCCACCUCGUCCAUGCGUGCAGUCCCUCCUUGUCCGCUCGCUUGACAGCAGAGGUGAGACCUACCUCUGUGCCUCCUCCUCCACCUUACGGCCAGUUCAAUUUGCUCUAGCAAUUCAAUUUUGUCAUGUGCAUCACCCAGAUGAAUAUGUAUGUGUUUUGUUUAGUAUACAUUGAGUAAAUUUAGUAUUUUUUUUUUCAACUCACUCCAGCAAUCCUAUUAUUUUCAAUUUGACGUUUAUGUGUACAUUGAGAAAGUUGAGUAUUGUCGUGGUCGACAAUGACCAUGACUAGCUAAGUAACUUUGUCCAAUUAUCUAUAUGGGUGCAUAUCUUGUCUUUACUGAAAUGCCUCCACGAACAAGAAUACUAGUUCCAUCAGUUUCAAGUACGUGUGAUGUGGUCCUCUGGUUUUUUAUUCUUUCGUGAAAUUCUUGUAGUGUUCUACAUCUCCUUGUUCUCUCGUAAUGGGGCGUGUACUGGUUUUUCCAUGAAAAUAUUCUGUAGCUAGCUGGUAGUGCAACUACUCUCUCGCCUGUGUUGCUUCCUAUCCUUCCGGUGCCACUGUAACUACUCUCUCGCCUGUGUUAUUGUUCUAUGUGAUGCCUCUGCUUUGUGUCCAUGCCCAACUUGCUGAUGUUUGUCUCUCACUAGGUGCUAAUUCUCUAUCUAAUUGAUUCCGAUCGACAGCAAAUAGUGCUCCCAAAUCUGCAGAAGGAGCUCCUAAUUUUUAUGUCUGAAGUUCAGCUGUACCAUGGUGACACCGUUCAAAAACACUAGCAGGUGAUGUGCUAACCAGCUGCAGGACAUGGUCUCCUCGAGUUGCAGGUCGCACCCUUUACCCAUCUGUGUUGUCACCCGCGCCCUACCCAUUGCAUUUCUUCAAAAGGUUGAGAGUUCUAUUGGGUUAGAAGCCACAGGAGAGCAUUUAAAUUUGUGUUUGCUUUUGAGUAAAUGUUCUAGGGCUGAAUGUUAUCGUACAAUCUUGUUCAAACCAUGAUUUUUCUUCAGAAGGUUUAGAGUUCUAUUGGGUUAGAAACAUGUACAGUUUGUCAGCUUGUUUCAGGUCGUCUAACUCUGGAGUUCUAGAUUGAUUUACUAGGUUGCCCGCGCCGGCCGUCGAAGCCUACCAAGGUGAUGCCUCACUGCUGCCAGCGUCUCCCUGCACCCCUCCUCCACACCACAAGGUCGAUAGAGAUAUCACGUUGUUUCUGUUGCUCUUCUACUACAUCUUCAGGUUCAGAAAAGGAAACAACAACGUUUCACUGCAGUCCAAAUCCAUGUGUGGGGAGAUGCUACAAGUUUGCCGUCCCUCGAUCUGCCGAGAAGCCUCGCCGUCGUGCCUUCUUUUCUUGCAAUCGCGUAGCUUUAGCCUGAUAUGCUCGGCUGAUGCAUCUCUUUCUUUUUGUUUCUUUUUUGCAAACUUCUUGCUUUUCAUACCUCAACUUGUGUAGAUCUUUUUGCAAUACCGACAUAGAGAAGUCUGCACUUCCAACUGACAUUCAAAAGUUCAGCUUGACGCCAUGCGGGACACUGCAGAGCUGUCGUGGUGUCGAUCGAGGCGCUGAAGUCUAGGGCUGUUGCAUGCUCUUUCUUGCUGAGGUCGAGCUAGAGUGCGAUGGUGUCCAUGCUCGCCACCCUUCUAGAGUCUGGUGCUAAUGCGGGCUUUCUCUUGCUAUUUUUUGUCUUACCAUGAGAGGGAUAACAAAUUAUUUAAUGUACCUUUUCUCCUUU
rnacentral:rRNA from 1 species